rnacentral:rRNA from 1 species
AUUGAACGCUGGCGGCAGGCCUAACACAUGCAAGUCGAAUGGUAACAGGAAACAGCUUGCUGUUUCGCUGACGAGUGGCGGACGGGUGAGUAAUGUCUGGGAAACUGCCUGAUGGAGGGGGAUAACUACUGGAAACGGUAGCUAGUACCGCAUAACGUCGCAAGACCAAAGAGGGGGACCUUCGGGCCUCUUGCCAUCAGAUGUGCCCAGAUGGGAUUAGCUAGUAGGUGGGGUAACGGCUCACCUAGGCGACGAUCCCUAGCUGGUCUGAGAGGAUGACCAGCCACACUGGAACUGAGACACGGUCCAGACUCCUACGGGAGGCAGCAGUGGGGAAUAUUGCACAAAGGGCGCAAGCCUGAUGCAGCCAUGCCGCGUGUAUGAAGAAGGCCUUCGGGUUGUAAAGUACUUUCAGCGGGGAGGAAGGGAGUAAAGUUAAUACCUUGGCUCAUUGACGUUACCCGCAGAAGAAGCACCGGCUAACUCCGUG